rnacentral:rRNA from 1 species
UACGUAGGGUGCAGGCGUUAAUCGGAAUUACUGGGCGUAAAGCGUGCGCAGGCGGUUUGCUAAGACAGGUGUGAAAUCCCCGGGCCUAACCUGGGAACUGCGCUUGUAACUGGCAAGCUAGAGUGUGGCAGAGGGGGGUGGAAUUCCACGUGUAGCAGUGAAAUGCGUAGAGAUGUGGAGGAACACCGAUGGCGAAGGCAGCCCCCUGGGCUAACACUGACGCUCAUGCACGAAAGCGUGGGGAGCAAACAGG